CUCACCUUCAAUGGCAUGUAGUACCCUUUAUCUCUCUUCCUUUUUGCUGCUACAUCAUUUACAGUCUUUUCCAAAAGCCUUUCUUUACAUAUAUUGCUGCAGAGUGUGGCCAUGCGGCCUGCUUGGUGGGUUCAGACUAUUAAAGACCUUAUAAAAAUGCUCUCUCUCUUCUGUCAAACCCCCUUAGCCACUAGCAAUAUUAGAACUAUAUAUAUAUAUAUAGUAGUACUAGUACUAGUGCUCUUGAGAAGUGUUUGUACUUGAUGAUUGGAAACUGUGGUGAUCAUCAAAUCGAGAUUCUUAUUAUUAUUAUUAUUGUUGUUGUUUUUGUUAUAUAUGCUAAACAUUAUUUAUGGCAUUAAUUUAUUGGUCAUUCGUAUCAUCGUUUCUGUGCCUUGUUGAAUUUUGAUCUUAUCAUGUUUUGAAAUUCCUACUCUCACCAUUUACAACAGGGAGCUGACUACUCAGGUAGUGAUGGCAUGAAUUCUGGCUCAAUGAAUAUUAUCAGAGGUUUUUAAUCAAAAUUUGGGUUCAUCAUCAGCUCUACCAACUACAACAAGGGACACCAUUUUGUUGGUUCAUGGAUCGUCAUUGGAUAGGGACAUCAUCAGCUCUGAAUUUAAGGAAAGAGCAUUAAAGAAUACUACCAAUCGAUCAAAGAGGAAAUGGGAGUCGAAAAAUGGUUCAGUCUCCACACCACGACAUCACAUUCGACGUGGAAUGGUGUUAACUUCUCCUACCGGUCAAAUUGAGACAUGACGUCUAAAGCAUUAUGAUGCUGAGAAAGGAUGGACUGUAAUAGAGCUCGAGCCAUUAUAUGUAAGUAAUUUAAAUUUUUAUUUAUUAUAUUUAUUAUAUUUCUUACUAAUAAUUAAUUAAAUAUAUUAUUAGGAUAAAAUGAUGGAGUUAAGGGGUCAACAUCCUCCAGAAGAACUGUCUGAUAAAGAGAUUAUGGAGCGUGUACUCGGACGUGAUUCGGUAUACUUGCGAGGGUGGGGGCGGUCUCCUAGUGUCACAACUUCUACUUCAUAUCGUGAAAAUAUUGUGGGUAAUCAACCAACUUAUGAAGAGUUAGUUGAACGACUUAAUGAUACAACUUCCCACCUUAAUGCUACUAACGAACAACUUAGUGUGGUUGUAGAUAUACUUCGUCAUAACAAUUUGAUGGCACCGCCUCCACCACCUCCAACAGACCAGGCUUCAGAUGCAAAUUUAAGAGAGUUGCCAUCUUUUUCAGUUCGGGAGUCACAAGAUGAUUCUUAGUUUAUUUACAUUAAUUUACUAAGGAAUGAACUUUAUGAAGUUUUUUUUAUUUUGGUAGGACUAAUCUUAAAAUGAUAACUUUAUGACUUAUUUUAGUAUUGAACAUUAUAAAGAAUUUUAGCAUUAAACAUUUUAUUAUUGUAUGGUUUUUUUCUAGUUUAUUUCUAAUAUAGA